UACGUAGGGUGCAAGCGUUAAUCGGAAUUACUGGGCGUAAAGCGUGCGCAGGCGGUUUUGUAAGUCUGAUGUGAAAUCCCCGGGCUCAACCUGGGAAUUGCAUUGGAGACUGCAAGGCUAGAAUCUGGCAGAGGGGGGUAGAAUUCCACGUGUAGCAGUGGAAUGCGUAGAGAUGUGGAGGAACACCGAUGGCGAAGGCAGCCCCCUGGGUCAAGAUUGACGCUCAUGCACGAAAGCGUGGGGAGCAAACAGG
rnacentral:rRNA from 1 species